rnacentral:rRNA from 2 species
UGGGGGAUAUUGCACAAUGGAGGAAACUCUGAUGCAGCAACGCCGCGUGAGGGAAGAAGGUCUUCGGAUUGUAAACCUUAGUAGUCAGGGACGAAACAAAUGACGGUACCUGAAGAGUAAGCUCCGGCUAACUACGUGCCAGCAGCCGCGGUAAUACGUAGGGAGCGAGCGUUGUCCGGAAUUACUGGGUGUAAAGGGUGCGUAGGCGGGACUGCAAGUCAGGCGUGAAAUACCGGGGCUUAACUCCGGGGCUGCGCUUGAAACUGUGGUUCUUGAGUGAAGUAGAGGCAGGCGGAAUUCCUAGUGUAGCGGUGAAAUGCGUAGAUAUUAGGAGGAACACCAGUGGCGAAGGCGGCCUGCUGGGCUUUAACUGACGCUGAGGCACGAAAGCAUGGGGAGCAAACAGG